UGUGGUGGCUGGGGGUGGGGUAUGGUGGCAGCGGGGGAGUAUGGAAUGGGCUGCAAAGGUAGGUAUUUUCCUGACGUGGGAGUCUGAGAACUGCUGUGAAACACGCGGGCCCAUAGCACUAGGAUGAAAUGAGGAAAAGCACUUAGCUUGGAAUCACGACUACAUCCUUCUUGAACUCGCUGACCCUGGGGAAGUCACUAAACCUCUCUGGGCUUUGGUUUAAAUCUCUCUAAAAGGAGGAGGUUAGCCAACAAGGAAUGGUUAAGAGGCUUCAUCUCAUCCAGUUCAACUGGAUUCAAGCCUAUUCACAGCCACUGCCUAGGGCACCGUGGUAAGGAGGAUUGUGAGGUCACAUUAGGGCUAAGCAGAAAGGACCACAUGAGACUCCAAGGUCUGCCAUGAGCUUGGAAGGCGAGUAACCGGGCGAGCACCUGAGGACCUCCACUGCUGAUGAUCUGAGGGUAUCUGAAGGGGUGUCAUUUUGAUUUUGGUGGCAGCAUUUUAAAAUGUCUCUUCUUUCACGACUUUCUCACCAAUUCACAGAAAUCUUCCUUAAAUCGAUUUUCUAAGACUGGAGAUAUUGUUCUAAAUUUUCACUUUGAACAAUUCUGUAACUACGGCACGGUCAGCAAGAGCCUACCAGCAGUUUUGUUAGUUAGAAUGGCUCACUGAACAGGAGUCUACCUAUCACCACUGGGACUUGCUGUAGGGCUUGCAAAGGUCCCCCAACACAUAUGCCAUUCUGCAGUGUGGCUUUGCCACUGUCCUCCCAAGCACUGAACUCUGUCUCACCCCCCUUGAAUCCCACCCACACAGGCCCAUGGCUGCUUGGGCCAUGGAGCGGGAUCCAAGUGCUGUUGUGAGUCUUCCGGGCCUGGGCAGGAUUGUUACAUGGUAGUGAUGUAAGGUUUGGGGAAAUCUGGGUGAAAUCAUUUGUACUAUUUCUGCAUCCUUUUUUUAAGUCCGCAACUUUCAAAACUAGAAAUUAACUAAAGUCUGUUUCCUUUUUCUCUUUUUUUGCACACGGACACUGAAGGAGUCCCACUUCCUGAGGCCACUGUGUUGUCAGGAUGCCCAACUUAGUCCCACUGAGGGGCCAAGUAGAGGAGAAGGGGGAAAGAGAGACAUCAGAUGUGGGGUUCUGUGGGGUUUUUUUGGUAUUUGGAAGAGCAAUUAUUUGUUAUAAAGAACCGGAAGUACAAGAUUUCACCAAAACAGCAAGUUGACAGAAUAUGGCUGAACUUACAUGAAACUUUCAAGGGAAAUAAGAGUGUGAAACAAAGCCCAUAGGAGUGAAGAAGUGCACUGGUUAGGAACACACGUAAAGAUAGUAGCGUCUAAGUGUGGGUAUCUUCUGACUCUCCCUCUGACUGCAGUCAGAUUGCCAUCAUGCUCCCACAACCCUCUCCCUUCUGAAGCUUCUGCAAAACCACACGGCUUCUCUGUACUGCAGAUGCAAGCCAACCCAAGAGCACCCCUUUAGGCAUGCUGUAUAGAGCCAAGAGAAGAGUUCAUAAAUCUCAUAGCCAGCCAAGGGCCUCGAUUAUCAUCUAUGUUCCAGCCCCAGGAGAUGCCAUGGGGAGCAGAGAUUUCCACCCAAGCCCUUUCCAAAUUACAGAAUCUCUAACUUGGGGUGGUUGUUACAUAGCACUAUGUCAACCUUUCACCUGUGGCAAAAAGCCUUCAAUUCUGGUUUGGCAAGAUCUAGCUAUCUGAAUGAGUCUUUUGGACCUAUUCCUUGGGCUGAGGUUGGUUUCACAGUCUUCUUGGCUAAAUGCUUUUGUUUCCCGAGUUCCUUUUUAUAUAGCAUCCCUAUUCUUAUUUCAUUAAGAUUUAUCUUCCCACAUAUCUAAGGCUAUUAGAGAUAUUUUCCCCCCUUUUUUCUCACAGGUUUUUUUGUUCCUUGUGUCAUCUCUGUCCUCUCAGAGUCCCUUUUUUGUGUCUGUGUUGGUCACUAUCUGUCAUUUUGCAGCCUCUACUCAGGUCUCUGGCAACCCUCUACUGUUGGUUAAUUUUUAAGGCUGAGAUGCUGUCACUUGCAGUCUUAAGAACCUUGGCGAAACGUAACACAAAUGCUGAAAGCCUGCACUAAGACAGCACCAGCUAAGUUGACUGAAUUCAGACAUUAAGGAGGUAAACUAGACAGAACACAAAAAUUAACUUAAUUCAGAGAGGAGGUGCUCUGAAAGAAGUCUGUAUAGGCUGCAGCUGAAGCACAUGGGAUUGGUUACUUCUACCAUAGAGGUGGGAUACCAAAGGGGAAGCUUCAUAGAGGAGUGACAUUUCGUUUCACCUCUGAGGUGUGCAGGGUGGGCAGUCACAGGAGCAGCGUGGCAGGGGAGAAGCCCCGUCUACUUACAGAUACCAGAUGAUGACACCCUUGACUUGAAGUGGAUGUAAUGACUGAUGAGCCACCUGCUGGUCUUGGAAGGGAUGGAUGUAUUUUGUGCGUGGGGAGGGCUGGGGAAGACAUAAACUGCUGGGUACAGAGUGGAACGCGGUAAACCGUCUGCCAAGAGGGUCACCAACAAUUCCUCCUGCUCUACAUUCACAUGCUGUUCCUCCUGAGACAGAGUUUAAUUUACAUGAAUGUUUAUAAUAGCCAUGACUUACUAUUCAUCACAAAAAGUAGAAACCCAAGCAUGAACGGAUAAAGAAAAUGUGAUAUAUCCAUACAAUGGGGUGUUAUUUGGCAACACAAAGAAGGGAGUACUGACACAUGCGGAGGAGCCUUUAACACGUUACACUAAGUGAAAGAGCCAGUCAUAAAAGGCCAUAUUAUAGGAUUCAUUUUAUAAGAAAUGUCCAGAACAGACAAAUCUACAGAGAUAAAACAGAUGUAUGGAGGGGGAGGUUAAGGAAAUGGGAGUGAUUGCUAAAGGAUAUGGCUUUCUUUGGGGUGAUGAAAUGUUCUAGAAUUAGCGGUGAUGGUCAUACAACUCCCGACUAUAUCUCUCAAUAAAGCUGUUACCAAAUCGGGGGGGCGGGGGGCAGGGUAUCGAUGACAUCUAUUUCCCCUCCUAUUGAAUCCAGCCAGCCUUGUGACUUGCUUUGAACAAAAGAAUAUGGGUAAGUGAUGGUGGACCACUUCUGGGCCUAGACAUGAAAAGGCUGGCAAGAUCGUACACUCACCCCCUUAGAAGCUAACCACCAUGCAAACAAGCCAGGGUAGAUGAGAGACAACAGGUAGAGAGGGGCCUCGUGGAAGUAAACCAGGGCCCUACUCAUGUGAAUGAAGACAUCUGGGACAUACCAGCCCCGACCAGGCUGACAGCUGAAUUAAGUGACCCCAGGAGAGAUCAUACGAAGCCAACUCACAGAAUCAUGAGAAUAAAUCAUUGUUGUUUUAAGCCACUGAGUUUUGGGGUGGUAUGUUAUACGAGGGAUAACUGACACACAACCUCUCCAAGCCUCAGAUUCUACCUCUGUAACAUGGGACCAAAGCUAUAGGGCUCUUGUGAAAGUUACAUGAGGCCAGUACUAGGUACUAGGCUUCAGAAAUACUAGUUGUUACAGUUGUUAUCAUUAAAUAUCAUCCCAGGAGACCCCAAAUGUAUUGCAAGUAUACUCCUUGGUAAGCCUCAUUCCCACAAGCACCUGUCACCUCCAAUCACAUGGUUUUCAAAAAACUGGUUUCCCAACAAAGAAAAACAAAGAUAUUUUUACUACAAUUUCUAUAGUAAAACAAACAAAAAACAAAA